UACAGAGGGGGCUAGCGUUAUUCGGAAUUAUUGGGCGUAAAGGGCGCGUAGGCGGCCAUGCGUGUCUUCCGUGAAAUCCCUCGGCUUAACUGAGGACGUGCGGAAGAAACUGCAAGGCUCGAGUCCGGGAGAGGUGGGUGGAAUUCCCAGUGUAGCGGUGAAAUGCGUAGAUAUUGGGAGGAACACCGGUGGCGAAGGCGGCUCACUGGACCAGUAUUGACGCUGAGGUGCGAAAGCGUGGGGAGCAAACAGG
rnacentral:rRNA from 1 species